CCUACGGGCGGCUGCAGUAAGGAAUAUUGGUCAAUGGACGAAAGUCUGAACCAGCCAUCCCGCGUGCAGGAUGAAAGCCCUAUGGGUUGUAAACUGCUUUUAGCAGAGAAGAAAAGCUUUCAUUAAUGAGAGUCUGACGGUAUCUGCAGAAUAAGCACCGGCUAACUCCGUGCCAGCAGCCGCGGUACUACGGAGGGUGCGGGCGUUAUCCGGAAUUACGGGGUUUAAGGGGUGCGAUUAAGGCAUUGGAGAAAUCUUGUCGCGUAACGAUAGAAUUGCCAAUGAGACUGGUACUCUUGAAUUGGGUUGAGGUUAGCGGAAUGUGACAUGUAGCGGUGAAAUGCAUAGAUAUGUCAUGGAACACCAAUUGCGAAGGCAGCUAACUGGGCCUUGAUUGACGCUGAGGCACGAAAGCGUGGGUAGCGAACAGGAUUAGAUACCCGUGUAGUC
rnacentral:rRNA from 1 species